rnacentral:rRNA from 1 species
UAGGGAAUCUUCCACUAUGGACGAAAGUCUGAUGGAGCAACGCCGCGUGAGUGAAGAAGGGUUUCGGCUCGUAAAACUCUGUUGUUAAAGAAGAACAUAUCUGAGAGUAACUGUUCAGGUAUUGACGGUAUUUAACCAGAAAGCCACGGCUAACUACGUGCCAG